rnacentral:sRNA from 1 species
GCCAGGUAUGGUGGUGCAUGCCUGUAAUCCCAGUGUCUUGGGAGGCGAAGGCAGGAGGAUCGCGAGUUCAAAGUCAGCCUCAGCAAAUGCGAGGCACUAGGCAACUUAGUGAGACCCUGUCUCUA